AGGGGGUUAGCUCAAGUUGGCAGAGCAACGGUCUCCAAAACCGUAGGUUACAGGUUCGAGUCCUGUACCCCCUGCCU
rnacentral:tRNA from 1 species